UUCGAUUUCUCUCAAACAAAAAUCUCUCUCAAUCGAUUUCUCGAUUCAAACUUCUCAAAUCGGGUUUGAUUUUUUCCGAUUCUCUCUCAAAUCUCUUCAAUUCUCUCUCAAAUCUUCUAAUCUCAAACACAAAUCUUGUCUUUCGUUUUCUUAGGCUUCGAAUCGACUCUAAAUGCUCUCAAAUCUCUUCCUAAAUCUCUCUCAAAUCUGAGUCCCAAUCUCUUCUUAUGCCGCCUAAAGGUAAAUCGUCAAGAGGCCGCGGAGGGGGCUAGAAAACCAGAGCAGUAGCCGCUGGAGGGGGCCAGAACACCAGAGCAGUAGCCGCUGGAGGGGGCGAGACCAGCAGACUAGUAGCCGCUGGAGGGGGCGAGACCAGCAGACCAGUAGCCUCUCGAGUCCGAACAUAUGUUGGUCAGAGACCACCAGUCACUACGAGUGGGGUCGGAGCAUCUUCUCACUCAUCAAACCCAUCGGCGACACAGUCUGCGACCCAUUCCCAUGCGACUCGUCCUUUACAGUAUCAUAGUAGACAUACUCCUCCUCUCAGUCAACAGACUCCUCCUCCUCAACCGCAGCAUCAGCCACAGCCACCGUCUCCUCCCCAACCUCUACCGGAACAUGAUGUGAAUCACGAAGUGAUACCUUAACAACAAAACCAAGACCUUGGAGAGGAAGAGGACGAUAAAGUAGGAAACCAAGAUCACGAAGAGAACCCUAAUCCAAAUGAAGACUACCAAGAAAUGCUGGAUCGUUUGCUAGCCCUUCUUAUGUGUAAAGACCCAAUCCCAGACGUUGAAACAUUGUGGUUUAACCGGCACAAAGGGAGGCUGUCCUGAGCGAUUUCCACAAUCUUUAGGAGGAAGUUUGAUGGGCGUUAUUACAGCUGGAAGGUUACUCCAAUAGACAAACGAGAGAGAUAUUUCAGGACUUUUGCGUGGGAGUUUAAUUGGGAUAUUGGAAUUACUGCCAUGUUUAGAGAAGGAAUCUUGGUUAUAGCCAAGAAACGGAUGAAAGGGAUUGUCAGUCAAGUGAAGAAGACUGGUGUACAACCAACUUGGAUUCGUAACACACUUUGGGCUGAGAUGCAACACUUUUGGAAAACCACUGAUGCUAUAGAGAGGAGUGAGAAUGCUUCACAAUGCAGAAAUUCUGAUCGUGGCGGACUUGGAGUGCACAAACACUUAGUCGGUCAGAAAUCUUUAUCCAAGUUCAUCAAGAGAUGGAGGAAGAGUUGGGGCGUCCAGUUUCACUUGGCGAAGUAUUUAUGAGAACGCAUACUAGAGCUGAUGGAUCUUUUGUGGAUUAAAAGUCUGAACAAGUUGUUGAGUUGUAUAAGAAGACAAUUGAAGAGAGAUUGGCUGAACUGGAAGAGGAGGGUCAGGAUACUACAGAGAUUUCCUCUGAACAUUCAACGCAUCCUAGAGAACUCAACAUUGAUGAAAUGAAUGAUAUCUUCCUUAAGGUAAUUUAUUUAUGUCUUUAGUUUACUGAAUGUUUGUUUUUUGUUUCUGUGUACUCAUACAGAUGACCAAGGCAACCCUUAUGGCCUUGGAUCUCUUGUGGAGACCCUACACAAAGGAAAAAGGAAGGAGAGUUAUGCGAGCUCUUCUUCUACAGUUACAGUUGUUGAGCUUCAAGAACAGCUACGGCGCAAGAUCUCUGAUCAGGAUGCUGAAAAUGCAAGACGUGAUGCGGAGCACCGCACGUCUCAAGCUCGGAUCGCCAGCUUGGAGAAGCUCAUCCUCUUUAUGAAAGAAAAGGAUCCUGACUUGGUAGCUUUCAUGUCUUCUUCUCCACUCCUGCAACCAGCAGUCUUCAUACCACCCAUCACACAAACAGACACACUUCGCACCUGAAACCACACUAGCCUCUCCUUUAUCUAACACUGCUUCAAACCAAUGAACUAGACUUUUAUUUGCUUAUGUUUUUGUACUCUUUAAUACUUUUUUAGGAUGGUUUUUAGUAUGGUUUUUGAAUGAUGGAUUAUUAGCAUUUGAAAUCGAAAUUGCAGGUUUCGGAUUAUUAGCAUUUGAAAUCGAAUUUGCAGG